rnacentral:RNase_P_RNA from 1 species
AGAAGGUGUCGGAUAGUUGCCCCGAUAUUAUGUCGGGGAGGAAAGUCCGAACAUUCGUUGUGAGAUGUCGCACAUGUGCAAUUUCACAAAAGGGUAGCAGGUAACACCUGUCGGGAGUAAUCCUAGAGAUGCGAACAGUGACGAAGCCGGCUUGCCUCGCCUUGGCGGGGUGAAUCCGGAGUGAAACGGCAAAAUUCUUACCUGAAUGCAAGGCCGUGUCCCGAUUCACCAUGUGUGAAUCGUGGAAGUGCCGCUAUAGGUUCUAAGCGAUUAGAAUCACAGAUAAAUAACUAUCGACAACAGAAUUCGGCUUAUAGACACCCAACCC